rnacentral:rRNA from 1 species
UUGUAGUCUGCAACCCGACUACAUGAAGCUGGAAUCGCUAGUAAUCGCGAAUCAGAAUGUCGCGGUGAAUACGUUCCCGGGUCUUGUACACACCGCCCGUCACACCAUGGGAGUCGGAAAUGCCCGAAGUCAGUGACCCAACCGUAAGGAGGGAGCUGCCGAAGGUGGAGCCGGUAACUGGGGUGAAGUCGUAACAAGGUAAC